UACGUAGGGUGCAAGCGUUAAUCGGAAUUACUGGGCGUAAAGCGUGCGCAGGCGGUCCGUUAAGACAGAUGUGAAAUCCCCGGGCUUAACCUGGGAACUGCAUUUGUGACUGGCGGACUCGAGUAUGGCAGAGGGGGGUAGAAUUCCACGUGUAGCAGUGAAAUGCGUAGAGAUGUGGAGGAAUACCGAUGGCGAAAGGCAGCCCCCUGGGAUAACACUGACGCUCCAUGCACG
rnacentral:rRNA from 1 species